rnacentral:rRNA from 1 species
UAAGUCGCGCCCCCCCGGGGGGCUCGAUACGGGGAACGUUCACAGACUAAGUGGAAGUGGGUGGGGUCCCCCGGGACCCUGCUUAAGAUAUAGUCGGGCCACCUGGGAGACCAGGCGGGAAGUACACCGCUACGAACCGUUCCGUAGGUGAACCUGCGGAAGGAUCAUUA